GCGAAGGCCAGCGAGAUGAGCAGCAGCGGCAGCCCCACGGCAAUGCACGUAACCAUCUUGUCCACGGCCAGCUCCAGUCGCAGCCCCUUGAACUUAGGCUCGGUGGGCUCCUUCAGCAAGAAAUCGGAGAACACGUACUCCGUGGCCAGGUGGUCGCUGACCUGGCAGGUUAUCAUCCACUUCCCAGGAUUCUCGGCUAUCAUUUCUGUUGUAAGGAAGGUGGCUGGGAACAGGUUGACGACAUCAGUCCGAUGCCCUCUGCUGAUGAAGGUGUUACCAUAGAAAUAGAUGGAAUGGAUGUCUAUCUCAUUCCCCAUUCCAAAUAGGUGCCAGGACACAGAUUCACCAACACACAUAUCAGGCUCAGGGAAGUUUCCGAAGAGGUAUCCAUUGAGGGCUGGAAAUAGAAACACACUAGUGGAAAAGACUCCCCUGCAGAGGCGACCAGGACCAGAAAUGUUGAAAAAACACUCAAUGAAAGCGAAGAUCAGCACACACUGAAAACAGCCUCGGAGCUGCUGUGAGAACGCAAUAAUGAGGUCAGGAGAAAACAGAGUGCUGCUCAUAUUUACAGGAGGCUCAGUCACCUUCUGUCCUAAUCCUUCACUGGCAUAUCUGCUGUCUCCACCAGAUUUUGUGCUCCUUGGAACUAGAAACCCUGUUUUGUUCAUCUUAACAGUUAUCAGGACCUAGCAGAAAAACUGGCACAUAGUAUCUACUUACUGAAGUGUCAAAAGCAUAUAGUGAGAUGGAAAGAAAAGGAACUGAUUAAAAGGGAUUUAUGAGAA